AUUGAACGCUAGCGGGAUGCCUUACACAUGCAAGUCGAACGGAGUGGCGAACGGGUGAGUAAUGUAUCGGAACGUGCCCAGUAGCGGGGGAUAACUACGCGAAAGCGUAGCUAAUACCGCAUACUAUUGGAGCGGCCGAUAUUGGAUUAGCUAGUUGGGGGGGUAACGGCUCACCAAGGCGACGCUCCGUAGCUGGUUUGAGAGGAAGACCAGCCACACUGGGAAGGUGACAAGGACCAGACUCCUACGGGAGGCAGCGGUGGGGAAUGUUGGACAAUGGGUGAAACCCUGAUCCAGCCAUCCAGGGUGGGCGAUGAAGGCCUUCGGGUUGUAAGGAACUGGUGGCAGGAAAGCGGUAACUGCAGAAUAAGCACCGGCUAACUACGUGCCAGCAGCCGCGGUAAUAC
rnacentral:rRNA from 1 species